rnacentral:rRNA from 1 species
AUGCUGGGGCGAGGGUUGGGGAUGUCGGCGCCGCAGUGGCGCGGGGACGCACUCGACCUGCGCGUCGCGCUGCGGUCGGGCGGCAACCUCCUAUUCGGGCUCUUCGUGGCCGCCGUCCUCGCGUUCACGCUCCUCGCCGCCGUCCACAGCCCCGACGACCCGCUCCUGCACCCAUCCUCCCACCAGCUCACCGCGUUCCUCACCUCCGCCACCUCCAACUCCACCUUCCUCGCCGACGACUCCGUGCUCCGUACCGGGGAGGACUUCGCCACCGGCUCCAACUCCUCCGAGGACGCCCACGCCACUGUCGGACCCAAGUUCAUCGAGCUCUCCGAUGUUGGAUCCGAGAAAACGGAGGUAGAGACGGAGCAGUCCGUCACCGUCGACACCGACACCGUCACCGACCCCAACUCGGCCGCCCAGGAGGAGAAGCCUAUCGUGGAGGCUGUUUCCUGCGACACGGAGGCGCCGGUGGACUGCACGGGGGAUAGGGAGCUCUUCAACCUGCUCAUGCGUACGUCGAUCGAGAGGUUCCCCGACCUGCACUUCUAUCGCUUCGGCCGCCCCGUCGUGGUGCCGGAGAGCCCCAUGGCGUGCGACCUCGCCUGGCGCUUCCGCCCAGCCGAAGACGCCACAGGACGCACCACCUACUAUAAGGACUACCGCCGGUUCACGCUCACCCGCGAUGUCAACACAUGCUCCCUCGUGGUGGAAAGCAUCGGCGAGUACCACUCCGGCACCGGCGCCAAGCGCAGCGGGCGACGCAAGGGCAAGAAGGGCAAGAAGGGAAAGCGUGAGGCACCGGUGACCACAGACUUCGUGCCAGCCAAGACCCAGAUGAGGAUCGACGAGAAUGGUGCUAAUGCAGACACCACGACUGCUGCAGACCAGGUGUUUGUUGUCGGCGAUGCCGUCAAUGACAGCAUGCCGGUGGUCGCUUCUGAGUCCGAUUUCAGCCGCGGAAGGUACCUCAUUUACAUGGGAGGUGGUGAGAGAUGCAAGAGCAUGAACCACUACAUUUGGGGCUUUUUGUGUGCGCUAGGUGAGGCGCAGUUCUUGAAUCGGACACUUGUUAUGGACUUCAACGUCUGCCUCAAUUCCCGGUAUACUGCCAGUGGCAAGGAUGAAGAAAAAGAUUUCAGGCUCUACUUUGAUUUUGAGCACCUGAAGGAAUCUGCAUCUGUGAUCGAUCAGAGUCAGUUCUGGACAGACUGGGGGAAGUGGCACAAGAAGGAUCGACUGAAGAACCACUACACUGAAGACAUCAAGGUGACCCCCAUGAAACUUCGUGACGUCAAGGACACGCUGAUCAUGAGGAAGUUUGGGCAUGUUGAGCCGGAUAACUACUGGUCACGUGUGUGCGAGGGUGAGACGGAGGCCAUGAUCAAACGGCCAUGGCAUUUCUUGUGGAAGUCGCGCCGCUUGAUGGAGAUUGUGUCUGCCAUUGCCUCUCGAAUGAGUUGGGAUUUCGACUCGAUGCACGUCGUGAGAGGAGAGAAAGCCCAGAACACACAGCUGUGGCCAAACCUUGAUGCAGAUACCUCGCCAGAAAAUCUCCUUACGACACUCAAUGAUAAGGUUGGUGCCGGACGGUAUUUGUACAUUGCUACAGACGAGUCUGAUAAAUCCUUCUUCGACCCGCUGAAGAACAAGUAUAAGACGCGUUUCCUGGAUGAUUUCAAGGACCUUUGGGAUGAAAAUAGUGAAUGGUAUGCUGAAACUAAGGAGCUCAACAAUGGCAAUCCGGUGGAGUUCGAUGGUUACAUGAGGGUUGCAGUUGACACUGAGGUGUUCCUCAGGGGGAAGAGGAAGUUGGAGACAUUCAAUGACCUAACACGCGACUGCAAGGAUGGUGUCAAUACAUGCGCAGCCGCCUCCGGAAUAUCUGGUUGA